AUUCAACUGUCAGGCGAAUCAGACAAGUUCCAAUGGAAUUUGCAUCAGAACGGUAGCUUUUGAGACAAAUCCUUGUAUGAUGCAAUGGUUCACACUGAUGUUCCGGUUGAUAACAAAAAAUUGUGAAAGCUCAAAAUUCCUCUUAGAGUGAAGAUAUUUCUCUGGUUUCUAAACAAAGGGGUCAUCUUAACUAAAGAUAACCUGGCACGACGCAACUGGCAAGGUAGCAAGACAUGUGUCUUUUGCCAACAUGACAAGUCCAUCAAACACUUAUUUUUGAGUGUAAGUUUGCUCGUGCAGUCUGGGCCAUAG
rnacentral:rRNA from 1 species